CCUGAACCAGUCUGGUGAUGGCCAGAUUCGAGGGCACGUGAUCCAACUGAAGCAUAGACUUCAGUUUCUCCACAGCCUCUGCAAAAAAACACAAAAGGAUGACUGGCUGAGACACCUACAUUUGCUUGACCGCCAUGGCGUCCUCAAUGAAUCCCUGCGCCACCAAAGCCCGGAUCAAGUGGUCGUAUGGCAGCGGGGCGAGUGCCACGCCCUGUUUAUCCAACUCCUUCAGCUUCCCCAGUGCUUCUGCAGAAACAAAUACAGGAAAUCUCUUACAGCUUUUUCCAAGACUACUCUAUUUAGCUCCAUUCAUCUUCCAAACAACCAUGACCAGCUCCCACAUCCCUGCUGAAGCAACUCCUCAGCAUGAUGCUGCCACCACAAGCUUCCCCAGUGGGGCUGGUAUUCAAUGUCAGCAUUGAGUAGAUGAUACUACUGGGUGCAUUGUAGCAUCUUUACAUUGCUACAGAAAUACAAAAACUACUGUUCAGAGAAGAUGAGAACUGAGACCAAUGUGGCGGAACAACCGAUAAUACAGCAGGAACCAGGUAACGCCUCAUUUGUCAAAAAACAGUUAAUAAUGCAAAAGUAAAUCCAUGUAUGUAAGAAGAAACAUUAGAAAACAGAAGAGUAUGAGAGGAGUUUUGGGAAAAUGUUAUGAUCUGGUGAUGAAACAGCAGAGGAAACAAUAUUAACCAUAUUAAUGUGACAUCUCAGCUUCCUUUGUGUACAGCAGUGUUUCUGUGACGUGGGACAACAUCAC